UACAGAGGGUGCAAGCGUUGUUCGGAAUCAUUGGGCGUAAAGGGCGUGUAGGCGGUCUGUUAAGUCAUGUGUGAAAUCCCUCGGCUCAACCGGGGAACGACGCAUGAAACUGACAGCUAGAGUACCAAAGAGGGGGGUGGAAUCCCGGUGUAGCGGUGAAUGCGUAGAUAUCGGGAGGAACACCGGUGGCGAAGGCGGCCCCCUGGUUGGAUACUGACGCGUGAGGUGCGAAAGCGUGGGGAGCAAACAGGG
rnacentral:rRNA from 1 species